GCGCGACGCGGGCCGAGGGCUGUAACGUGUGCGCACUGCCGUGCAGGCAGCGCCUGGGGCGGGGGCGUGAGGGCUGAGGCUGCGUACUGCGCUCAUCAGAUUUAUUGCUUUUCUCUAACAUGAGAGAAUAGUUGUAUAACUUCUUUGGAGCUGCAUGGGCCUACCAGCCUUCCAGAUUAUGGACUCCAGACCCCAAAUGAGGCUUCUGUAAUAUCCUUUCAUUGGCUCAUCUGUUUUAAGGAACAGGAGCUUGCUAGUAAAAUUUGCACCCCUAGCUGCUGAACUCUAGAAAUGAUGGAGGAUGCCUUUUUACUGUUGAUCUGAUGCAGUGCACGAAGGGUAGUUCUAACAGGUUACGUUACAGUUACUGUCUGUAGAUUCCUUAUUUUUUACACACUGCUGGGUAUUUGAUGUGAUGUGCUUGUCCAGCUUCAUGUUUCAAAGAUUGAGUUCUGUUGCUUUUUUCACCCCUUUUCUAUGUGCCACCUCUGGUAUGAUUAAAACAUCACAACACUUCAGAUGCAGCCUACAUGCUGCUUCUUUGUUCAAAGGCCACCUCUUUUAAAAGGUCAGUUCCAGUAGCAGCCCUGAUGGUCCCUAGUGCUACAAAAACUAACCCCUUUUGAAACAUCAGUGUGCAAAAUAGUCCUGCAGCCAGUGCACCUGACAGCUGAUUCAAAUGUGAAUAUUCUGAUAAUGCAGAAACUUCUGUCAUUUAUCCUAUUUUUGUGUGUCUGCAUGGAGCUGUGAAUCAAACAUUGCUGUUGAUGUGGAUGCUCCGUCUUAACCCUCUUCUUGCUCCUGUCCAUUUGUGACCUUGAGGUCGGUCUUCAGUUUUUCAGCAAAGCAGACUCUUCAUUGUGGUUUCUAGUGUGAUAAGUCCUGGCUACCAUCCAUGUUUGCCAAAUAUCAGUGUUUUUACUUAUUCGGUGAGAGCAGUUCCCAGCAUCUUUUCCUCAUUGCUAUGCUGUACUCAUUUUACAUGCAAGGGGCAAUUAUAAAAUGGUUCAAGCUGGGAAAACAUAUCAGAAUAAUUUCCUGUAUCACGCAGGGCAUCAGAACAAGCACAAAAAGCCAACUCUUACAAACAAAACCACCUAAUCUACAUGCAGCCUAACUCCAUGUACUUGUAUGUCAGCCUAUAUUAUGUAUACCUGUUAAAAUUACGGUGGGUAGUAAGAAUUGCAACCACUGGAUGCAGUAAAUAGCAGUAUUCUUGUAAGAAUACAUUUUUACUCUAAAUGAAGAACUUUAAUAUACUGUCAGCCUUCAGCCACCCUUCUUGCUGGCCAUACUUCAGCUUGUUUUCAUUUAUCAGCUGAAUUCUCAUUCCAUGACCUGCUGUUGAAUAGAUUUCAUUAAUUGACUGAAUUUCUUCUGUAUUUUUACCUGUACCACACGUUUUGUCUCACACCAGACUGAUGUAUAGAUAUUUAUUCUAAUAUGGUUGCCAGAGUAUUUCAACUGGUUUUAUUCCCUCUGUUUCAGAACCAAAAGAGCUGAAAUGAGUAAAUGUUUAAAGACUUUGACGUUGGGAAAGUAGUGUUCUUGGGAGGAGAAUCAGAAUUAGUAAAUGUUUAAAAGAGAAUGACUCUGUGAACCUUAACUGCUGCAAUAAUAUUCCACUAACAGUGCAGCAGCUAAUAAUUUAGAGAUUUAACAGCAAUUGCAUUUUAGUGGCAUUCUACGUAAUAUUCUCAAUUACAGGUGCUAUUUUGAGUAAGACUAUGCCCCUUCAGAAUUAUUCUUACAUACUUUCCAUCUGCAGUAACACUAAGAUACAGAAUCACUGAGUUUUUGCAGUAAAUAGCGUUAGCUGGGUAUGACUCUAACAAAACCUAAUUGAACUGUGGAAUAACUGAUAAAAGGUCUUGAAACCAUUCCUUUUGUGUUCUAACCUAUUCAUGCAAAGGUGAAGUCAUUGUGCAUCUAAUAGGUUCUCCAAAAAUUAAAAUACUGGGUAACUGUAAUGCUCUCAUUCCCACAGAGGACUAGUAGUUCUGGUUCUAGUGGACUGCCUGAUUUCUAGUAACUGCAUAGCUAGGGGUUGGUGAAUGACUAGCUCUAAGGGACACCUGUGCUAGUUCCACUAUUAAGGGCAGAGUGUCAUACAAGAAUUUACAGAAUUUGCAAUACGUCCCAUGAGGUAACGCAGUUGAUUCUAUCUUCACAGAUCACAUUCAUCAAACAGAUGCAAAACAGAAUACUUCAUAGCAGUUUAGGUUUUCUCUGUCCUUUUCAGUAGACCUGUGUUUACCUGUAGCAUCUGUUCUUCUUAAGGUACGUCAGGUAUAAGGGAAGGCGAAUGUUACAAACAUUCUCUUUCAUCUCAGACUGGAAGCCAUUUAUUCUGUAAAAAACACUCACCUGCCAUUUCUUUGAUCUGUGAAGUCACCCUUUGCAUUAAACAAGUCAACUUAGCCAAAUCUCUCUGGAUAGUACAUGAUGUAAAUAAAUUGCUGGCUGUAAAUUGCAUGCUAACAGUUUUUCUGUUUGUAAAACUUGUUUGGUUUUCUUGUUUGUUUGUUGUAAAAGCAUUAAACGAUUGUCAAAAUGAAACUAUGUAAACUACUAAGCGACGGGGAAUUUGUAGGUGUAGUGUAAACAGGAGUAUUUUCAGGACCACCUUGGUGCUAGUGUCAUGAAAUCCUUCUUUUUAUCCUGGUAAUGCCUAAAAAAGCUAGAACAGGAAUUAGGAUGCUGAAUAAAUAUGUGUAUAUAUGAAUAUAAAUGGUCAGACAGGAUUUAGGUUCUUUCUGCGUAGCAGAGAAGCUUUGGUCUGUGUAGCAAAUCUGUGUCAGGGUGGUUCCUGCUACAACUGGGUGCAACCUCUCAAUCAAAAAUUCCUGGUUCCUGCACUAUCUCUACUCCUUUCUACACUAUUUCUUCCCCUUAAUCUUAACUGCCUAUCCUGCUUCAUUAUCAUGCUGUGCAAGGUGAGUAACUUCUCUAUUUCAGGCUAUUCACUUCACUUUCUGCUGACCCUCGAGCAGCCAUUUGUAUUAUAUUAUCUCUUAGGUGUUUACGCAUUUCAUGAUUAAGUAAUUGGUGCUAUGAACUUUCUACCUCACCUUAUCUUCUUGCUUUUUAUCAAAACUGAGGGUUAUUCAGAUAUUUCAGUGUUUUCAUAAAUGUAAUAUUUUUGUUAGUUGCUACAUACUUGUUUUACUCCUGAUUAAUUAAUCUUAAUUCCCACACAAAUGACCACUAGACAGUGACGAUAGGAAAGGAGAUUGUCACAUCAGGCAGUAUUUUUGCAUUUUAUAUCCUGGAAAUCCUGUGAAUAUUUGCAGAAAGCCAAUUGCAUUGUGGUUAAACAUAAUGAAAUAUGAUGUAUCUGUCAUUCCACAGUAGAUUUUUCUAGAACGUCUGUAUGUAGGUCACACCCAAUGUAGGUUGAUGGUCACAAAAAUAUUAGUAUUAUUCAAGAUAACUUGUGGAUAUAUUAUAACAUCAUUUAAUAUUUAUUUAAUAUUUCACGAGGUGUUAUCAACUUCUUGAUACUGGCAUCUAUAAACCCCUUGACAAGGUUUUAUUGCUUCAGCAUAUAUCCUGUAUCUGCUCUAGGGGGAUAGGGCUGAACGUGUUGAAGUUGGAAUGGAGGUACUUGCUCUUAAGAGGAUAAUUGCAACAUUUCACCGUUGUUUGUAGUUGUUCUUUCUUCUUAAUUUGUUAUGCUGAAAGGUGAGAAGCUAUUAUGUGUAUACAAGGAGGAAUAGCUUUGGGAAAUCUUGCCACUUUGUUGGACUUUCAAGAUUAUCUCAGUUGAUAGGGCAACAAAAGAGAAUUGCCUACAGUGACAAUGAUAGAAAGCAGUUAGGCACAAAAAUGAACCUUCAUCCUACAAUUUGAACAGUUUCUGCUUUAGAAGCUGAGUUUUGAUGGUUCAGAAAUGAAGUAUGAAUGGAAGUGGUUUGAGAUCUAUCAUUAGUAUGACACUUCCAAGACACCAGAUAUUAACUGCUCAGGGUUGCGGGGUUUUGCUUUGAUUUAUUUUCCAUAUUACGUGUUUGGAGUUAAUGUCUUUUAUUCGAAACCACUGGGAAGACAUUUAUGUGUGCGCUGGCAACUUCUUGUCUUGUUUCAAGAAAACAGACCUUUCUAUAGAAGCAUGCAGAUGGUGAUACGCCUCUCUUCAUAUUCCUUGUGAAGCUUCCUUCUUGUCUUUGUAGCAAAGUAGUGUAUGUUAUAGGAUUUUGCAGAGUCAAGGCCAUACCUUUUGUAGCAAACAGGGCAGAGUACUUUGCUGCCACUUGGUUUUUAUUGUAGAUAAACGGAGGUCAGGAAGAAUCGUUAUGGUUUAAUGAAUGCAGGUAUAAUUAAUUUAUAGUUGAGUAUAGGAAACACAGAGAUAUCACUGGAUUUUCAGAACUUUGGGGCAAUAUAUUCUUUUUUUUCUUCUUCUUUUUUUUUUCCAAGUUCAGAAGUUCAAAAAGGCAAUCAUUACGCCGUCAUCCAGCUCUGUAGGCAUAUACUUCAGCUUUGCUACAUACCAGAUCCGAGAACUGUCUUGUCAAGACUGAGUAGUUCAGUGCCUGUUUCAUUGUUAAAUCCGGAUAAGCAAUUCAAAUGAAGCCAUCUUCAUGCUCUCUUCUCCUGAGCCCAGCCCAGCAGCCGUACUUUAGAUGCUUUUGCUUUCCAAACCAUAGAAAAAGAUAACUUGCCACUUUCUCAUACAACUAGCUGUCCAGUGGUUCUAAGAACAAUUUGGUAUGAUGGGAAUAGAUGUUGUUUGCUCCAAACAUAAUGCUUCUUAUUUAUUUCUAUGGGUACUACAACAGAUACAAAGAGCACAGUAACACCAUUUGAAUUCCCAGCUACAAAGCACUUUUUUCUGCAUAGUAACCAUUACUAGCUAUCUAUUUUCACCAGCAACAAACAAGAGCCUACAUGCCACGCUUGUAAGAAUCCCACCACCUCACUGUGCUCACAUCCACUGCUUGGUCUCCAUAAACCUUCAGCAAGUGUCAAUAAAUGUCAGGGGUGCAAUUUUUUUUCCUCAUGGAGGAAUUCGGUGACACACUUUUGCUUUGUAUGUACUUCUGUGUCAGACAGCGUUUGUCACACUGCCCCUCUGCUGCCAUCUGUCACACAGCAACAACGUGUAGUGGGGUAUUGGUGAGAAGGCUCAUCCUCUACUGCUGUACCACCAACGUCCGCCUCUGAAGUUGUGGGCCAACAAAAUAAAAUGGGAAGCACUACUUUCAGAGCAACCCUCAUAUAUGUCAUGCUUAAGUUGUAGUGUUAUGUGCUUAGUAUAUGUAAUAUUUAUAUAGUUCAACUAUACUAAGUUAUAUAUAAGUUAAAUAUAUACUAUAUAUACUGAGUUGUGGUCAAAGGACACAAGCAAAGUGAGAUGUAGGAAGAGAAAAAGAGCUGCUGUUUCCUGAACAGCUGCUUAAGCCUGCUUCUCCCAAGCCGUCUCCAAAUUUGGGCCUUCCCUGUCACUCGAAGACAGCACUUGCAGGUUGCCCAGUCAGUACUGAAUGAUGGAAACAUCAACCUGCUAGUCUGGGAUAGCUCAAAAAUGUUGAGUACCAGUGAUUGUUGCGUAAGGAGGUUGUUGUGCUGUAUUAAACCACCUGUCAGUGGUUGCCAAUGUCUUACAUUUGAAUAUCUAUAUCCACCUAGAAAUAAUACUUUGAAGUCUCGAGUUUCAACAAUGGAGCUAUUUUGGUUUUAGCUUGCACAUCAGAAAGAACGUUUUAUUAUAUAUUAAAAUCCUCUUUUUUUCUUUUUGUUGGGGGGGGUUGGGUUACAUUCAUCGUGGUGCUUCUCCAUACUUUGCCUUAUCUGUUUACUUUUGCAAAGUACCUCAAGAUCUCCAAAUUAAACCAACUAUAUAAUUAUAGGACACUGAAUUAAAGACAUUCAGUUUUGUAACUAUGAGGUAGAAUCUGUAGGCUGCAUAAAUUGAAAUGUUACACUUUGGGGUUAAUCUAAUAAAUGUCAACGCAUCCACUUAUGGGAACACUUUUAUUGUUUGUAUUAAUAACUUUUCUUAUUUUUUCCUGCAUCAUUUAGUUUAACUUUUUAUUCACGUUGGGCCCAUUCCUGUUACAGUCUUGUAACAGAACUCAGCUGUACUGCUUUACAAAUUGGCUUCAAUAAAGAUUAUCUAAUUUGAAGUUCUGUUUGUUACUAAGAUAAUGAGUGGUGUAGUACAACAUUCUAAAGAAACACCCUAUUACUGAAGGCCCUCCUACAAAAAAUGCCUCUAUCUGAGGUAAGUGGAAAUUUGUUUGCCAGUCCUGGAGGUGGCAGUAGUUGGCACAGCUGUAAUCCUCACACGUAGACUUGUUAAAAACCUAAAGAAAUGCAGAUGAUUCACUACAUGCUGGUUCUUGUGCUAUGAUCAAACAACCUACCCAUCUCAUUGUUCUGUUGGAUUGUUAAUCCAGUAAUUUUGUGAUCCUGUAUUAAAACAGCAACUAUCUUGAAAUGCUAUUAAGGAUUUUCAACAGGUGAUGGCAUAAAAAAGAUAUUUGUUUUUCUCCAGAACACCUGAGGAACAGGGAGGAAUAUCAUACUAAGGCUUCUAGAAGCAAUGACUAAUUAUUAAACCACUUCCAGUGAUACAGUUAAUGAUCAAAAUGGCAAUGAGAAAGUACAAUGAGAACAGCGGAUUACGCAUAAAAAAGAGGCAGUGUCUUCCAUUUGGUGGUGUAGUGUACAGUUAAUUGUGUUGAAACUGCUUUCUGGAAAUAAACGUAGUUAAAGUCAUGGUGUAUGGGAGCAGUAGGUGUAAUCGAUGCAGACAUUACUAAAGGCUAAGAAAGAUCUCCUAUCGAUUAGGCCGAGUUUUGCGUCGUGACCUCAGCUCCUACUGAGUUUCAUGGGAAACUUAAGAAGUAUCUUCUUUGUUUUGGUUACAUGGGCUGUUGUUUACCUUCCUCUGCCUUCAUUCUUUCAGUACUAAAUAAAUAAAUAAAUAUUUUGCAGGAAUAGAUAAAUUAUAUCUGAAGUCUUCCGAGUUUUGCAAGCCUCUGACGGGUGUGGAUCCUGGCUCCAGUUAGACUGAAUGAUUCAGAAAAAAAAUGUCAGUCUCCUAGAAGAACACAGAAUAUAUUUUUAAAGGGAAACUCUGUGCCUGAAAGUCAUAGAUCAGACAGAGAAAUCUCAUCUAGUUGCUCCUGUGUUGAGGCAGCAUUAAGCUAUACCUGUUAGGUAAUUGAAUUUCUCAUGUUAUUUAUUCCUAGGGAACAUGCCAAGUGGAAAUCAAUAGAUCUCUAUGCUUUUAUAACUGAUAUUCCGCCUAAGAAAAUUUCAGCAGUCCCUUCUCAUGAGCUUUGUUAUACGGAGGAUGUUCUUUCUUCAGCAUUUUUUAGAUCAGCUUUUUUUCCUAGCAUUAAUAAGGCUCAUUCUGAGGGCUGGCUGUGUCUGGAGAAUGGUAAGUUACACUCUGUGUGUUUGCUUUCAAAAGCCAGCCUCCUUUUUGCAAUGGAAUCUGUUUGCUGUUCCUGUCUGCUGAAGCAGGAUAUUUAUGACAGACUAUCAUCUCAGGUUCAUUUGGUAUAGAGAACAUGUUAUACUGACUUUAGACACUUGAUGUUCCAGCCUUUGUUUUAGGAGUGAGUUUUUCCCCAGGCAUUUGUGUUUAAAAUACAGACAUUUGUAGUUAAACAAGAAGGUGCUUGAUUGGUAAGGAGAUGUCUCACAUCUUAAGAAAGCCUCCUCCUCAUACUUUCAGUAUUCAGAAUUCCUAUGAUGUUUUUCAAGAAAGAUAUAUUGGUUUCAGGUUUGUAGUUGGUAUUUAUUUCCUUUCUUUAUUUUUUUAUUUUUAUUUUUAAUAUGGUACUUUUCCCCUUGAUACAGACAUGAAGUCAGGUGUCUUAGCCAUACUAGUAGAGUUUUAGCUGUAUCUUUCAGCACAGUAUCUAUUAAAAAAUUCUCUUUUCAUUGCCUUUCCUGGUUUAGUCUUUGAAGAAUAAAACAUGGAGUUAACUAUUUCUGUUACUUCCUUUCUUCUAGCCUUCAGUGUUUCUUUUCUCCCCCCAGCAUCUAUAUAUAUUUCAGAGAAGACACUCUUCAACAGUUUUUUUUCUAACUCUGGUACUGAUUAUUUUUUGAAACAUUUCUUUCUUAUGUCUCUCCUGAUAAGAAGUCACACUUUGGUUUGACCUCUUUCUAAAAAUUGCAAAUGUCUACUUCUCUUUCUGACUUCUCUCUUCUUAUGGAUCCCAGGUAUUAUUCACCUACACUCCCUAACUGGGUGGACCUGCUCUGUCAAAAGCAUGUUUGGCCUGCUUUACUCAGAGGAGCAGAAUACUUUGGCUGGCUGAGGCUGGGGAAAGGAUGAGCUGAAAUCGCUUGCUUACUGCUUUCUUCUAUUACAGUUUCAUGCAGCCCGAUGCACGUGUCAGACCAGUCCACUGUGGUGGCUAACCCUACCCAGGAUCCUGCA